rnacentral:rRNA from 1 species
UACAGAGGGGGCGAGCGUUGUUCGGAAUUACUGGGCGUAAAGGGCGCGUAGGCGGCCUGCUAAGUCAUACGUGAAAUCCCUCGGCUCAACCGGGGAACUGCGUGUGAUACUGGCGGGCUUGAAUCCGGGAGAGGAAUGCGGAAUUCCAGGUGUAGCGGUGAAAUGCGUAGAUAUCUGGAGGAACACCGGUGGCGAAGGCGGCGAUUCUGGCCGGC